rnacentral:rRNA from 1 species
UGGGGAAUUUUGGACAAUGGGCGAAAGCCUGAUCCAGCAAUGCCGCGUGUGUGAAGAAGGCCUUCGGGUUGUAAAGCACUUUUGUCCGGAAAGAAAUCCUUGGCUCUAAUACAGUCGGGGGAUGACGGUACCGGAAGAAUAAGCACCGGCUAACUACGUGCCAGCAGCCGCGGUAAUACGUAGGGUGCAAGCGUUAAUCGGAAUUACUGGGCGUAAAGCGUGCGCAGGCGGUUUGCUAAGACCGAUGUGAAAUCCCCGGGCUCAACCUGGGAACUGCAUUGGUGACUGGCAGGCUAGAGUAUGGCAGAGGGGGGUAGAAUUCCACGUGUAGCAGUGAAAUGCGUAGAGAUGUGGAGGAAUACCGAUGGCGAAGGCAGCCCCCUGGGCCAAUACCGACGCUCAUGCACGAAAGCGUGGGGAGCAAACAGGAUUAGAUACCCUGGUAGUCCACGCCCUAAACGAUGUCAACUAGUUGUUGGGGAUUCAUUUCCUUAGUAACGUAGCUAACGCGUGAAGUUGACCGCCUGGGGAGUACGGUCGCAAGAUUAAAACUCAAAUGAAUUGACGGGGU